UCGAAGAAAGCGUGAUGGGGUAACUUGACAAAUUCCUGGAGCCCGUGAAAAGGGAGACGGCGUCCGUACCGAGAACCGACACAGGUGCCCCUCGCUGAGAAGGCGAAGGCGUGUCGGAGUGAAUUGUGUUAAGGGAACUCGGCAAAUUAGCCCCGUAACUUCGGGAGAAGGGGUGCCUGCCUGGAGAUCAGGCAGGUCGCAGUGACCAGGGAGCUCUAACUGUCUAAUAACAACAUAGGUGACUGCAACUCGGAAACGACUAGUAUAGUCACUGAUUCCUGCCCAGUGCGAGUAUCUGAAUACCGGGUUCAACCGGACGAAGGACUCGUAAACGGCGGGGGUAACUAUGACACUCUUAAGGUAGCGUAGUACCUUGUCGCUUAAUUGGCGACUUGCAUGAAUGGAUUAAUGAGAGCUCUACUGUCCCUAACACAAGCCCGUUGAACCUUUUGUCCUAGUGCAGAGACUAGGGACUCCUAUUGGGAAGUGAAGACCCCGUGGAGCUUUACUGCAGCCUGUCGCUGAAUUACGGUAUUACAUGCGCAGUGUAGAUGGGAGGCGUUAUAUCCGUUUCUUUCGGGAAACGGGGAGCCAACAAUGAGACACCAUCCUUAUUUUACUGUAGUUCUCACUCCAACGAGGACAACGAUAGGUGGGCAGUUUGGGUGGGGCGCCACACCCUCGAAAAAAUAUCAAGGGUGCCCUAAGGUCAACUCAUGUGAGUCAGAAACUCACAGAAGAGUGUCAAGAGCAAAAGUUGGCCUGACGCGAUUGCGCUUAGCAAGCAAUCGCGAGAGGAAACUCGGGUCUAACGAACCAAUACGCCCUGUUGGUGAGGGCUAUUGACGACAGAAAAGCUACCCCGGGGAUAACAGAGUCGUCGCCGGCAAGAGCACAUAUCGACCCGGCGGCUUGCUACCUCGAUGUCGGUUCUUUCCAUCCUGGCUGUGCAGCAGCAGCCAAGGGUGAGGUUGUUCGCCUAUUAAAGGGGAUCGUGAGCUGGGUUUAGACCGUCGUGAGACAGGUCGGUUACUAUCUAAUAGGAGUGUCAGGAGUCUGAGGGUAAGAAUGGAAUAGUACGAGAGGAACUUCCAUUCGGCGCCACUAGUCGAUCGGUUGUCUGACAAGGCAAUGCCGAGCAGCCACGCGCCAAGGGAUAAAAGCUGAAAGCAUCUAAGCUUGAAACCCGGCCUAAAAAGAGACUCCGUUGAGGACAUGGGUAAAAGACCCGUUUGAUAGGCCUGGGAUGUACGCACGAAGGCAACGACGUGUUCAGUCCGCAGGUACUAACGUCCAAAUCC
rnacentral:rRNA from 1 species